CGUCAUCAUCUGCAGGGAAGGUAAACACAGCACGGGGCGCCGCUCAGCAACACGGAAGCUGAGGAUCACCAGCGGCUGUCAGGCGGCAGGGAGAGUAGUGCAGUAUGCUUAGUGUAGAGGAGAGUAGUGCCAGAGGAAGAAGUCUCAAAUAAAGGAACAAGACUUCAGACAAAAGCCAGAUUGGUGAGGAUCAUUGUGCUGGAACAUCAUCAUCAUUUCAUAGACGCCUGCUCCUAGGAGCUGCCACCAGGGGACGGCCACGGCAGAAGAGUUUCCAACUGUAACGCAUCACAGCAAUGCUAGGGAUGCUAACACAGGCCUCCCCACAGAGUAGCAGAGGGCAGAGGGCGGCGUGCGGCCCUGCAUUGCAUCAAAUCAGCUGCCCCAUCACGGCCAUGCCCACGCCCGUCAUUCUGGGCCAAGGAGAACCUCGGGUGGCAGGCAGCAUAGCGGGGGAGGCGGCGGUGCCAGGCCAGGAGGAAUUUGGCGAUGACAUUUACCGUCUGGCGAGGGAGCAGCCGUGGGUGGUGGCAGCAACUCAUCGAGCGGCGUGGAGGAGGGAGCCGCCAGGGUGGACCACGCCUACAGCCUGCACGUCACCGCCCGCCAUGCACUAAGGGCUGUGGGCGUGCAUGACCGCCAACCAAAGACUCAGCCCAGAGGAAGAGCCAGGCCAGCACCACCACAGGGACAGAGGACGAUGAGGAGAGUGUUCCAACGCUGCUCCAACUCAAGGUUCAUAGGCCACACGCUGAGCCCUGCCAAGAUGUCCUGCCAGGUGGUCGGCCUCCACCCCUACACCUCCCACUGGUUCCUCCUGCUGCCCCACUACAAGGAUGUGCCAAGUAUGCCCUCCAGCCUGCAGUCCUUGGAUGAAACCCUCCACACUCUGACCUGUGUGUUGGCCCGCCAUGUGUACGCCCUCGGCCUCAGCAGUCUGCCGCUGGAGCGCGUCGGUGAACGGCGACUCGUCAGGAGGGGCUUCACCAAGCGCUCCGGCCUGGAUGUUAGUGCUGAGUGUUGCCUCCCAGAUAGUGAAGUCGAGCCCGUCCAGCGCUGGGCCCGGCCACUGCAAGCCUUGUUGGGUCAAUGUGUGGGAAAUCAGCCAAGGUGGAGUUUGAGUCGGUCGGCCUCAACCAUGAGGGCUGUGUGAGCGGCAGGCUGGCCGUGAGCCUUCCUGGGAGUGCUGGGCGGCCUGGUGCCCCGGCUGAAGGCAAGCGGCCUCCCUGAGACACCCAAAGACUGGCUGACACAAGAUCUUGUGCUGGUACUGGUGUCUGAAGGCUAUGCAGUGGUGCGGACACAGGCUCAGAGUGCCCAGGUGGACCAAGAUGCUGGUUGCCGCCUGCCUGGGAGCAGACUCACAGAGGUCAGCGCGGGGCAGCAGGACAGCGCCCUCAGCAGUGACGAUGAGUCUCUCCAUGAAGGCUGCACAGCAGCAGGCCACCGUCGCCUGAGAGCAUCCUGAGGAACACUUCAAUGUCCAGGUGAGAAGCCUUGAGCUUUUUUGGAAAUUAUCCUUGGGAAAACUUAUGGUAUAAAGCAUCUUUAACCCGUCCGCUGCGAUGGGCAUGUAUUUGGUUUCAUUGGUACCAUGAAAACAUGUACUACCAGGUCUUUCUCUGGCUCUGUGGUGGAUAGUGGAGUGUUUCCCAUGUGGUAUUGGUGUGCUGGAUAUUCCCUCCCAAGGUGCAGGACUU